AUUUGAGUUGGAUUGGAACUCAAGAAAAUUACAUUAGAGAUGCUUACGUGUGUUAAAAACACUACAAAAGAGGCUAAGGUUGUCUCUGUUUGAUAGGGUUCUCAAGAAAAACAGAAACACUCUUUUGCCUCAGAACGCCGUUACACAAACCUUUCUCUAAACUUGUGCUUCUCUCUUCAUCCUUCUUCGUACUCUUAUCUCUCUCUGUCUUCGUUUUCUGUUGUUACAGAGAUAGAAUCACCGUCGGGCUCGGAUUCGCUUGGUGCAGGUCGGGACACAAAUCACUGGUGCUUUUGCCUUAUUGGUUUGUGAGCAGGGAUUGGCUCCCGCCUUGCAUCAACUGAAUCGGAGCCUCCAAUGGUGAAACCAAUCCUAUUAGAUCUGGAACUUAUAUAUAUAUAUAUAUAUAUAUAUACUCUUCUCCUCUCUUUUUUUUUUCUUCUCUUGAAUUCUAACUUAUAUUAUAAGACCAAACCUAGAAAUUAAGGAUUAAAAAGUGUGUUUCUUUGAAUAUUAAAUCAUGUUGUUGGCAAAUAAAAAGUUAUCUAAUUUUGUUUGGUUUUAAGCUAUUGUGUUUCCCUCUUCAAUCUCUGUUAAGUUGAAUCUUUAUUGUAGAUUUAAUAUUUUAGUUGAUAUUGUCUAUGUUUGGACAAUUUUUAGAAUUUGCUAGAUGCUGGAGGACAGUUUUAUUCAAGAUCUAGGGUUUGAAUUCUUACAGUCCUACUUCAUAUAAUUUGAUUUCUUAGGGUAGAGAUUACGAUAGCGAGCUCUGUUUUUUUUCUCUUGAGAAUCUUUAUGGUGUAUGAUUGGUUUUACUCUUAAGUUAAAAUCAUUAAUAAAACGUCUGUUAAUGAUAAUUGAGGAAACGUAUGGUUCAAACUCUGUCUUGUUGUCAGUCCCUGAAGUUUCACAUUCAAGCUCAACCCAAACCUCUAUAUAGAAACAUAUGGUCACAGUUUCAGAUUUUGUUUACUACAGUUGGUCUGGUUGGUUAUAUAUAUAAGAAACUACUUCAUUCUUUGAUUUUCACAUUUCCACAUCCAGCAAUAUGAAGAAGAAGAAAAAUAUAAAGAUCUUGGUGCAUCAGCAAAUCUCUUGUCUUGAUUUUCUCUAUGUUUCUCUAAGAAGGGUAUUUCCGCUAUGUCAGAGGAGUAAUCUGCAUUACCUGAAAAACAAUGACGACUCUUGAUAUCAAGUUUGAAGCUUGUGAAUAACAAAAUUCAACAAGACAAAAAGACUCUGAUCCCGCUUCAAGAAGUUGGCCAGUUUCAGAGAUUACAAAGCAACAACUCUGGAUUUUUACAGGACUGGAACUGGAUCAAAACAUUUGUAUGAUGAGACGAGUUGUUAACAAAAAUGGAACUUUUUUUUUACUGUACCCACAACAGGCAUGUACAAAUUGAUAUCUGAUGCGCAUAAAUGAGAAACCAGACUACAAGUUUCAAAUCCUAUAUUAUUAAACGACAAAAGAAAGCAAACAAAAACUUACACUGGUUGGAUCCAAGAACAAAGGCUGCACUUGUCUUAAAAUCUUAUGCCUCAGCAGACAUCAAUGAUUCCGAUUCAUUAGUCUUAUUUCUAAUACGUAUGGUUAUUAUGAAAGUGCAUAUUUUGGCUUCCCUCGUUUGCACAUCAAAAAUGCUUGUUGGAUUUGAGUUUAUAGAAGUUAGAAACAUAUACUAAGCAAAAUGAAUACAAUGUAGCCCCUUGUAUCUAACCAAAUCUGAUGGCUUUCCUUGUAUUUGUGAUCUCUCUAUGCUCUGUUCGACCGAUGAUAACCCGUUAGGAACUUGUUUAUCAAACCUCUUUCUCCCUUAAUUAACUUUUUAAGCACUGAUCAACAAGUUCACUACAAGCUUGUGAAAUUACAGAUAACUAGCUGUAUUAAUAAUUUGCUAAUAACAACAAAAUCUUGUCUUGAUCAUCAACAUCAACCUGACUAGGACGUCUAAUCAUCACUGGAUUAAAAUCGUAAUGAUCAACGACUAAUAGCCAAUACUAGUUUUAUUUAUAUCACCGUCAAUAUAACUUCUUUUAUUUGUAAUUAAUUAGCCUAUGUGAUCACUGGUCAUAUAUAUGAUCAUUUUUUUCGUAACUGUAUGUAUGAUCAUAUAUAUGAUAUUUUUUUUUGUAACUGUAUAUAUGAUCAUUUGCUGCUACCAUUAUCAGUUUUUAUGUUAUUUAUUAUCAGUUCAUCAUCAACAACUUCAUAUAUAGUUCUAGAAGUAAUGAAGAAGAACAUGUCAUUCGUAUUGAAUGGGAUAGGUAAAGAGUCAAGUCAACAUAAGUUACCAUAUAUAGCGGUGCAAAGACAUUUAUGACUUUUGUAGAGCAUAUAAGCAAUUUGUAAUUGUGGUCCUCGUGAAAGUUAAUAAUGUAGCUACAAUGUUAUGCAUGUGAUUCUUCAUGCAUGGACAGUCGUGACGUCGUGUUACUAUUCAUACGUACAACAUAAUUUAGUACACACUCACAAUUAGAUCAGUUUAGACCUUAGAGUCUUUCGCUAAAUUUCUUUUGGCGUGUAAAGAAAUAGUGAAAGACUCCAAAUUAGUUAAUUAAUGACUUAAUUCAAUUGUGUAGUGAACGCAGAACUGGUGUUGGACAUAGUCAAAUAAAAUAUUGGCUUUGGCUCAUCUUAUAUAUUAAAACAGAAGUCAUGACUUUUUUUUCAUGUGUGAUUUUUUUAGUUUAGACAAUUCCUAAAAAAUAUCAUAUUUUACAUAAGUUCAUUAUUAUAUCUUUUAAUAUCUUUAUAUUUUUAUAUGAAAUACAAAUGAAUAUAU